rnacentral:rRNA from 1 species
AUUGAACGCUGGCGGCAUGCCUUACACAUGCAAGUCGAACGGUAACAGGUCUUCGGAUGCUGACGAGUGGCGAACGGGUGAGUAAUACAUCGGAACGUGCCUAGUAGUGGGGGAUAACUACUCGAAAGAGUGGCUAAUACCGCAUGAGAUCUACGGAUGAAACCAGGGGAUCGCCAGACCUUGUGCUACUAGAGCGGCCGAUGGCAGAUUAGGUAGUUAGUGGGAUAAAAGCUUACCAAGCCGACGAUCUGUAGCUGGUCUGAAAGGACGAUCAGCCACACUGGGACUGAGACACGGCCCAGACUCCUACGGGAGGCAGCAGUGGGGAAUUUUGGACAAUGGGCGCAAGCCUGAUCCAGCAAUGCCGCGUGCAGGAUGAAGGCCUUCGGGUUGUAAACUGCUUUUGUACGGAACGAAAAGCCCUGGGUUAAUACCCUGGGGUCAUGACGGUACCGUAAGAAUAAGCACCGGCUAACUACGUGCCAGCCGCCGCAGUAA